UAUUCCUUCUCUGCUUUUUGCUUCCCCGGCUUCUUUCCUCCUUUCGAUUGAAAACCUCCAGCGCUUUCCAGCUGGAGAAACACUGGGGGGACUGGACGAGCCACCCCACACUGGGGCUUCAGCCUUCCUGCAGCCCAGCCCGGGAGCCCAGUCCACCCCCCCCCCCCGCCUUGGAAAGGCUGGAGGCCAGAAAAUGGCUUUGGGAUCCUGGGGGGCGGUGGAUGGACAUUGGGGGGGUGGCUGGAAUUCGUUGCACUCUGUGCAUGCAAGAAAUGUCUUCCGGGGAGGGGAAGGAGGCAGGAGAAAGGAGGGGGUACAGGCAAGGAGACAGCCGUAGCCCCUGUGUCUGGGUUGCUUUCAGUCACCCCCUCCCCCCCAACUGGGAGGAGAGAGGACGCGCGCGCGUGUGUGUGUGUGUGUGUGUGCUGGGGAGGGGUGGCGUUUUCACGCUCGCUCUGCUGCUGCCGGGCUCUGGCUGUGGCUGCCCCUGGUGCAUUAGCUGGCGCGGAGGCAAGUGAGAGCGGCUGGAGUUUUGCACGACACCGGGGACUCCAAACUGCGUCUCCCCCUGUGAUCCUGGACUCCGGAUACAAUUAGCAAAAAUUGCAAAAACUGCUAUUGACUGGAGUGGGAGUUUUGUCUGAGGAAGGACUUCAGAACUGUGCUGGAGGAGCUGAAUUCACUGCUUGCAUAAUUGGCUAACAUCUCCCUUCACGUUUCUCCCAGUUACACCAAUGACAAAGGUGUAUUUGGAAGUUACAGAAACUAGACAAAUCAACAGUCACAUUGCCGGCGAAGCCAGACGAGGAAGCAGUUUAAGCUGUGAAUUUCUUCUUCACCCCACAUAGAACAGUGACGACCAUCAUUUUUGUCUUCACCAUAGAGAGAUGCUUUGUGAACAAGGUUCUGCGGUGAUGUGAUUACAGGACAAUCUCAGCUUUUUUUUUCUUUUAUUUCCUCCCCCCACCCCCCUUUAAAAGUAAGUUUGUAUCUCAUACGUUUGUGGAGAAGAGCUUGACCCUUAAAGGCUCAACACAUUUUCAAUCAGACUGCAAAUAAAAAGAAUCCAAAUGUUCUUAUUUAUUUGAGUCUCAUGGUUUUUAAGCCUAUCUCAUGGCCCUGACUCAUGAUUUUUAAGUACUUGGGAUUGGUUAUCCUGCUAAUGGUAAUAAAAAUAUAAAGGUUGCAGGAAGAAAAUAGGCUGUUCUUUUAAAUAAUAUGGCAAAUUAAGCUAGGGAAUUAGAUUCAGAAACUGAAAGUACUUUUUUUGUUUUUAUUAAAGCCAGAAAACUGAGUUACUAUAGUAUUCUGUUGAUGAAAAGCUGAUCAGAAAGUCUGUGUAGUGGAAUAACUUUUUAAUGUAUACAGUAUGUCAUAGUGAAGUGUGCAGUACAUAAAUUUACAUUUUAUUGUGACUGCAGGAUGGGGUAUUGUUCUUUAAA